UGACGAUUUUGCAAUCUCUCUACCGUCUUCGUCGUUGUGCGUCAUUGUCUCCAGUGGGCUCUCUGACGGCUCCAGUCUCGCUUUUGAAAUAUGUGAUGGCUCCAUCAUCUCCGGUGAGUUAUAAUCUGUCGAGUUAGAGAGCGAGAUCGAGAUCGACAACAAUGGUCGUUCCAAGACCAUCAAUGUAUCUGGAUCCGACGAUGCUCCUUACAAAAUCAACAACGGUGGUGGUUCAAUUGGCAAUCACACGCAGGAACUUUGUCUGCGACACCAAACAAACUCUCAAUCCGAUCCAAUCCGAUUACCACAUGUCUCAAUUUUGAACCAAUUAGUUAGUCUCCCAGCUGCUUACAAGGAGCGAUUCGUUCAUUUGGGUGAGAAGAAGACCAAGUACUCGAUCAUCAUCGGCGGUGAAAAAUUUGGAUGCGGACUGUUCUCGUGAACUUUGGUUUGUUUUGGUGCGGUGGGGAUUUAAAGUAGUGGUGGCUCAGUCUUAUGCUAUAGUCUUUUUCAGAAACUUUGUGGCUACGGUGAGAUUUAUCCACUGGAUUCAGAAGUUAGAGUUUGUGAUGAGUCUAAAAGAAGGGAUGUUGCGACGCGAUUGAGUUGACGGAAGGGGAUAAUUUUCUUAUCAAUCACACGACAUGGAAAGAGUACAAACUGAAACCUAUUGGUGACGUUGGACCUGUCAUUGAUGUUGGAGGUAUAUUUGCUUAUGCUAGGAAAGCUGGAAUGAUUCCAUCUGCUGUUGCCUUGACUUUGCCUUUAGGCAACUAAAACAAGUGAAUGGAGGAGAUUGGGCUUUGUGUUUUCCAUAGACAUACGAUGAGAAGCUCUACCUACUUUAUAUACAGCACGUUCAUGCAAGACAUUGACUUACACGUUACUCAUGCUUUCUCUUUUUUAUCCUCAACGAUCUUCAGUGCAAGCUGUAAUUGUUAGAAUGAGCAAGAGCCAAAGUUUGAAACAAAACAAGAACAAUACAAGAGGCAUUCCCCAAUGCCAAGAGAUGAAAAGAAGAAAACAUCAAUUGUAGGAUCCAAGAGAGCUAUGAACCAAGAGCUUGGAAGUCUAAUGGCACAUGUGAGAUCAAGGUACAAUGACAGGCCAUCCUCGAGAGCUUCAAAGGACAGUUGAGUGGUCACGGUCAUCUGACUCUGUGACGUUGAAAAAGGAGUGAUAUGCUCAAAUUUAUCCUAGAGCUACUCUCUCAAAUUAAGAGAUCACUGCAGUACUUAGGGGUCGA